UACGAAGGGGGCUAGCGUUGUUCGGAAUUACUGGGCGUAAAGCGUGCGCAGGCGGCUUCUCAAGUCAGGGGUGAAAGCCCAGAGCUCAACUCUGGAAUUGCCUUUGAGACUGAGUGGCUUGAGUACGAGAGAGGUGAGUGGAAUUCCCAGUGUAGAGGUGAAAUUCGUAGAUAUUGGGGAAGAAACACCGGUGGCGAAGGCGGCUCACUGGCUCGUAACUGACGCUCAUGCACGACAGCGUGGGGGAUCAAACAGG
rnacentral:rRNA from 1 species